CUUCUGUCCCCGUCUCCCGCCCUCUCCAUCCGAUAUAAUCCCACCCACCGCGCGCUCCGCCUCCUUUUAUUCCGCCUCCAGUGUCAGUUGCAACGUUGGUGGCACACAAGGCUUGUACAAACUUGCAUAAUUUGAUAU
ensembl:ncRNA C29E6.10 ncRNA